CGGUGGUCCUCGCGGAGCAGGCCUCCUACGCCGCCUUCGUCGCCAUGGGGCUGCUCCUCCCGCUCGCCUACCAGCGGCUGGCCCACAGGUUCAACGUCGCUCAUGCUGCUCCGCCGGCCCAGCAGGCACGCGAGCGCCGUUCUGUUCCUGCUCGGGUUGGCCUCGGUCAGGAUGGCCGUCUUACUCCCGGGCCUCUGCUGGUUAUCCUCUUCUGUUGUAUGCUCAUGGCGGUUCAUUGGCUUGUGCCGGCAAAGGGUUCCUGCUUUGAGAAGGUUAGUACCGGGCUCGGUGAUCUUGGAACCAUUUUUGCCUCGGUUACACUCUGCUGGGUCAUUCUUCCGAACUUGGCCAUUAUCCUGCUGAGGGCUCCGGCGAACUGAGUUCUGCCAAGUCCAUGUUACUGCAACAACUUGGCGCAUGAAUAAUCUAAGUUCUGGAACACAUGACGCUUCCUUGGAGUAGAAGAGUUCCUAUUCACCUGGGGCAAGUGAAGUGAUGAUUAGUUUAACUACAAAUCGUUGCAGUAACAGGGCUCGUGUCAUGUUACCAGUUGUCAUUUCUGUGAUGAAACCAUUGUGCAAGUUAAUAAGCUGAACGAUCAGCAAGGAUAUGUCUAUUCCUCAUAAAUUUUCUGCACUUAAACAUCUAAAACAUAUCAAUUUUGAACAUGAUGGCUCUUUAGUUAUCACCAUUGAACAUGAUGUGUCCAAAUAACAUCGAGCACUCAAACUA